UUAAAAACACAGUCUAGUAUAAAAAGGACAGACAGAGUGUGUCAGAUAUUUCAGUAGGAAGAAUUAUUCUAAAAGAUAUACGUGGACAGGAACCAGAAUGAAAUUUGUAAUAGUCGCAGUUAUGGUAGCUCUGUGCCUUGCAGGUGAGAGUGCUGCUAAACAUUAUGGUAGCCACAAUUACCAAAACAACGAUAACCACAAUUGCAACACGUACUGCAACACAUGUGACCAAACAGUUCGGGUGUAUCAGUG